rnacentral:rRNA from 1 species
AAAAAAGGUAAGCUACUAAGAGCGAAUGGUGGAUGCCUUGACUGGUAAAGGCGAUGAAGGACGUACUAGACUGCGAUAAGCUACGGGGAGCUGUCAAGAAGCUUUGAUCCGUAGAUUUCCGAAUGGGGCAACCCAAUGUAUAGAGAUAUACAUUACCUAUAUAGGAGCGAACGAGGGGAAUUGAAACAUCUUAGUACCCUCAGGAAAAGAAAUCAAUAGAGAUUGCGUCAGUAGCGGCGAGCGAAAGCGCAAGAGGGCAAACCCAGUGCUUGCACUGGGGGUUGUAGGACUGCAAUGUGCAAGAGGUGAGUUUAGCAGAACAUUCUGGAAAGUAUAGCCAUAGAGGGUGAUAGUCCCGUAUGCGAAAAACAAACCUUAGCUAGCAGUAUCCUGAGUAGGGCGGGACACGAGAAAUCCUGUCUGAAGCUGGGUCGACCACGAUCCAACCCUAAAUACUAAUACCAGAUCGAUAGUGCACAAGUACCGUGAGGGAAAGGUGAAAAGAACUGAGGUGAUCAGAGUGAAAUAGAACCUGAAACCAUUUGCUUACAAUCAUUCAGAGCCCUAUGUAGCAAUACAGGGUGAUGGACUGCCUUUUGCAUAAUGAGCCUGCGAGUUGUGGUGUCUGGCAAGGUUAAGCAAACGCGAAGCCGUAGCGAAAGCGAGUCUGAAUAGGGCGCUUAGUCAGAUGCUGCAGACCCGAAACGAAGUGAUCUAUCCAUGAGCAAGUUGAAGCUAGUGUAAGAACUAGUGGAGGACUGAACCCAUAGGCGUUGAAAAGCCCCGGGAUGACUUGUGGAUAGGGGUGAAAGGCCAAUCAAACUUCGUGAUAGCUGGUUCUCUCCGAAAUAUAUUUAGGUAUAGCGUUGUGUCGUAAUAUAAGGGGGUAGAGCACUGAAUGGGCUAGGGCAUACACCAAUGUACCAAACCCUAUCAAACUCCGAAUACCUUAUAUGUAAUCACAGCAGUCAGGCGGCGAGUGAUAAAAUCCGUCGUCAAGAGGGAAACAACCCAGACUACCAGCUAAGGUCCCUAAAUCUUACUUAAGUGGAAAACGAUGUGAAGUUACUUAAACAACCAGGAGGUUGGCUUAGAAGCAGCCAUCCUUUAAAGAAAGCGUAAUAGCUCACUGGUCUAGUGAUUUUGCGCGGAAAAUAUAACGGGGCUAAAGUAAGUACCGAAGCUGUAGACUUGAUUUUAUCAAGUGGUAGGAGAGCGUUCUAUUUGCGUCGAAGGUAUACCGGUAAGGAGUGCUGGAGCGAAUAGAAGUGAGCAUGCAGGCAUGAGUAGCGAUAAUUAAUGUGAGAAUCAUUAACGCCGUAAACCCAAGGUUUCCUACGCGAUGCUCGUCAUCGUAGGGUUAGUCGGGUCCUAAGUCGAGUCCGAAAGGGGUAGACGAUGGCAAAUUGGUUAAUAUUCCAAUACCAACAUUAGUGUGCGAUGGAAGGACGCUUAGGGCUAAGGGGGCUAGCGGAUGGAAGUGCUAGUCUAAGGUCGUAGGAGGUUAUACAGGCAAAUCCGUAUAACAAUACUCCGAGAACUGAAAGGCUUUUUGAAGUCUUCGGAUGGAUAGAAGAACCCCUGAUGCCGUCGAGCCAAGAAAAGUUUCUAAGUUUAGCUAAUGUUGCCCGUACCGUAAACCGACACAGGUGGGUGGGAUGAGUAUUCUAAGGCGCGUGGAAGAACUCUCUUUAAGGAACUCUGCAAAAUAGCACCGUAUCUUCGGUAUAAGGUGUGGUUAGCUUUGUAUUAGGAUUUACUCCGAAAGCGAAGAAACUUACAACAAAGAGUCCCUCCCGACUGUUUACCAAAAACACAGCACUCUGCUAACUCGUAAGAGGAUGUAUAGGGUGUGACGCCUGCCCGGUGCUCGAAGGUUAAUUGAUGGGGUUAGCAUUAGCGAAGCUCUUGAUCGAAGCCCGAGUAAACGGCGGCCGUAACUAUAACGGUCCUAAGGUAGCGAAAUUCCUUGUCGGUUAAAUACCGACCUGCAUGAAUGGCGUAACGAGAUGGGAGCUGUCUCAAAGAGGGAUCCAGUGAAAUUGUAGUGGAGGUGAAAAUUCCUCCUACCCGCGGCAAGACGGAGAGACCCCGUGGACCUUUACUACAGCUUGACACUGCUAUUUGGAUAAGAAUGUGCAGGAUAGGUGGGAGGCUUUGAGUAUAUGACGCCAGUUGUAUAUGAGCCAUUGUUGAGAUACCACUCUUUCUUAUUUGGGUAGCUAACCAGCUUGAGUUAUCCUCAAGUGGGACAAUGUCUGGUGGGUAGUUUGACUGGGGCGGUCGCCUCCCAAAUAAUAACGGAGGCUUACAAAGGUUGGCUCAGAACGGUUGGAAAUCGUUCGUAGAGUAUAAAGGUAUAAGCCAGCUUAACUGCAAGACAUACAAGUCAAGCAGAGACGAAAGUCGGUCUUAGUGAUCCGGUGGUUCUGUGUGGAAGGGCCAUCGCUCAAAGGAUAAAAGGUACCCCGGGGAUAACAGGCUGAUCUCCCCCAAGAGCUCACAUCGACGGGGAGGUUUGGCACCUCGAUGUCGGCUCAUCGCAUCCUGGGGCUGGAGCAGGUCCCAAGGGUAUGGCUGUUCGCCAUUUAAAGCGGUACGCGAGCUGGGUUCAGAACGUCGUGAGACAGUUCGGUCCCUAUCUGCCGUGGGCGUAAGAAGAUUGAAGAGAUUUGACCCUAGUACGAGAGGACCGGGUUGAACAAACCACUGGUGUAGCUGUUGUUCUGCCAAGAGCAUCGCAGCGUAGCUAAGUUUGGAAAGGAUAAACGCUGAAAGCAUCUAAGCGUGAAGCCAACUCUAAGAUGAAUCUUCUCUAAGCUCUCUAGAAGACUACUAGUUUGAUAGGCUGGGUGUGUAAUGGAUGAAAGUCCUUUAGCUGACCAGUACUAAUAGAGCGUUUGGCUUAUCUUUAAUAAAGCAU